GAAUGCUUCAACUCUGGAGUUUCGUAGGGAGAUGGUGCUGGAGUAUAAAAACUGGCAAAUGUAGCCUCAGCUCCAAAGGAUUGAACUUGAGAAGAUCCAACCAGUCUGUCAAAGGAGUAACAAAUUUGCAAAGCUGCAAAGAGGUUGGAAGAUCAGAUAUACGACUUCGUAUUUCCACUUGUGGGAGGUGAGCAAAGGCGAAGGCACUGAGAUUGGAAGUGGUGCCGACCAAAGAAAAGUGUAUACCGUGAACAUAGAGAGGACAGAAGACUGAAAUCAAGGCACCGACAGGGCUGCGCUCCCCAGGAGGCUCUGGGAGAGAAGCCGAUCCUUGGCUCUUCCGGCUUCCUGUGGCUAUCGGAAUUUUUUGGCUGUGGUAACAUCUUUUUCUGCUUUGCCUUCAUAUCACUCUCUCCUCUUUGUCUUACAAACCUUUCUGUUGCUCUCUUAUAAAAAUACAUGUGACAUCAUUUAGGGCACACUCAGAUAACCAGUAUAAGUUC
rnacentral:lncRNA from 1 species